ACGUAGGGGGCGAGCGUUGUCCGGAUUUAUUGGGCGUAAAGAGCUCGUAGGCGGUUCGGUAAGUCGGGUGUGAAACCUCCAGGCUCAACCUGGAGACGCCACCUGAUACUGCUGUGACUAGAGUCCGGUAGGGGAGUGUGGAACUCCUGGUGUAGCGGUGAAAUGCGCAGAUAUCAGGAAGAACACCAGCGGCGAAGGCGGCACUCUGGGCCGGUACUGACGCUGAGGAGCGAAAGCGUGGGUAGCAAACAGG
rnacentral:rRNA from 1 species